rnacentral:rRNA from 1 species
GACGAACGCUGGCGGCGUGCUUAACACAUGCAAGUCGAACGGAAAGGCCUGCUUUCCCUUGUGGAUUGCGGGUACUCGAGUGGCGAACGGGUGAGUAACACGUGAGUGAUCUGCCCCCAACUUGGGUAUAAGCCUGGGAAACUGGGUCUAAUUCCCGAUAGGACUGCAGGGUGGUGCCUGUGGUGGAAAGCGAUUUUCUAGUGGUUGGGGAUGAGCUCGCGGCCUAUCAGCUUGUUGGUGGGGUAAUGGCCUACCAAGGCGGCGACGGGUAGCCGGCCUGAGAGGGUGGACGGCCACAUUGGGACUGAGAUACGGCCCAGACUCCUACGGGAGGCAGCAGUGGGGAAUAUUGCACAAUGGGCGGAAGCCUGAUGCAGCGACGCCGCGUGGGGGAUGACGGCCUUCGGGUUGUAAACUCCUUUCGACCGCGAGGAAGCCACCUGGUUGGAAGGGUGGUGACGGUAGUGGUAGAAGAAGCACCGGCUAACUACGUG